rnacentral:rRNA from 1 species
UACGGAGGGGGCCAGCGUUGUUCGGAAUUACUGGGCGUAAAGCGCGCGUAGGCGGAUCGGUCAGUUGGGGGUGAAAGCCCAAGGCUCAACCUUGGAACUGCCCUCAAUACUACCAAUCUUGAGUCCGGGAGAGGUGAGUGGAAUUCCUAGUGUAGAGGUGAAAUUCGUAGAUAUUAGGAAGAACACCAGUGGCGAAGGCGGCUCACUGGCCCGGUACUGACGCUGAGGUGCGAAAGCGUGGGGAGCAAACAGG